UCUACGACCGCGCCUACAUAGUUUUGCAUGUUUACAAUUCUAAUUUUAAACAGCCAAUCGACGUUUAAUUGUAAUGUUACCAAGAACCUGAUUGGCUGUUCAAAAUAAUAAUAAUAGUUUAAUAAUAAUAGUAAAUAUAUAAUUAGAAUUGUAAACAUGCAAAACUAUGUAGGCGCGGUCGUAGA